rfam:Otolemur garnettii contig106979, whole genome shotgun sequence.
GCUGGAUAUAGUGGAGCGUACCUGUACUCCCAGCUACUCAGGAGGCUGACACAGGAGGAUCACUGGACUCCAGGAGUUCUGGUAUGUAGUGUGCUCUACUGAUCAUGUGUCUGCACUGAGUUUGGCAUCAAUAUGGUGACCUCCCAGGAGGUGGGUGGGGUAGGCUGGCACUAAGUUUCCUAAAGAGGGGUGAACUGGUCCGGGUCAGUUCAGAAAUGGAAUAGGCCAAAACUCCCAUGCAGAUGAGUAGUGGUGUUGUGCCUGUGAAUAGCCAUUGCAUUACAGCCUGGGCAACACAAUGAGACCCUGUCUCUA